rnacentral:rRNA from 1 species
AACGAACGCUGGCGGCAGGCCUAACACAUGCAAGUCGAGCGAAGCCUUCGGGCUUAGCGGCGGACGGGUGAGCAACGCGUGGGAACGUGCCCUUUGCUACGGAAUAGCCCCGGGAAACUGGGAGUAAUACCGUAUGUGCCCUUCGGGGGAAAGAUUUAUCGGCAAAGGAUCGGCCCGCGUUGGAUUAGGUAGUUGGUGGGGUAAUGGCCUACCAAGCCGACGAUCCAUAGCUGGUUUGAGAGGAUGAUCAGCCACACUGGGACUGAGACACGGCCCAGACUCCUACGGGAGGCAGCAGUGGGGAAUCUUAGACAAUGGGGGAAACCCUGAUCUAGCCAUGCCGCGUGAUCGAUGAAGGCCUUAGGGUUGUAAAGAUCUUUCAGUGGGGAAGAUAAUGACUGUACCCACAGAAGAGGCCCCGGCUAACUCCGUGCCAGCAGCCGCAGUAACAC